GCGCCUUAUGCAUGCAAGUCGAGCGAAGCUUUUCAGUAGUUUACUACAGAAAAUGACUGAGCGGCGAACGGGUGAGUAACGCGUGAGCAACCUACCUUAGUUACUGGGAUAGCCCGAGGAAACUCGGAUUAAUACCGGAUAUUCUUAUUUUAUCACAUGAUUUUUUAAGGAAAGGUCAGCCGAACUAAGAUGGGCUCGCGUUCUAUCAGCUAGUUGGUAGGGUAAUGGCCUACCAAGGCUACGACGGAUAGCUGGUCUGAGAGGACGAUCAGCCACACUGGGACUGAGACACGGCCCAGACUCCUACGGGAGGCUGCAGCAGGGAAUAUUGCGCAAUGAGCGAAAGCUUGACGCAGCGACACCGCGUGUGGGAUGACGGAUCUAGGUUUGUAAACCACUUUCAGGAGGGAAGAAAAUGACGGUACCUCCACAAGAAGCCCCGGCCAACUAC
rnacentral:rRNA from 1 species